rnacentral:sRNA from 1 species
GCAUUCACCUGGCACCAGUUUCAGGGCCUCACCCAAGCUUUGCAAGGGAAAGCACAGAGGGAGGAAUUACACUGAAAAAAAUGCAAGCAAAGGUUGAGUACCCCCAGGUGCCCCUUAGGAAGGAACCAGGUUUAAAUAGGCUCUACCCUUACCUUUCCCAGCAGCAAGUUCAGGGGAAGAGGCCUACUCUUAGCCCUGGCUAGUGUGACCCUCUUCCUGUCCUAAGACUUUGGUCCUACCACCUCUUGUUUCAUCUUUCCUUUACAUUGCUGGGGGUUACCGCAGGUGCCUACCCCAGGGCUUCACCAUAUGGGCCAUUAAUAGCUCUACUAAAACUGACUUCUAGAUGUGAGAAGAGGGAAGUUGGAGAGGGAAAAGUUAGCCCAGAAGGAAAGCAUUUUCUGCAGAUCAGCCUGAAUCCACCGUGGCUAGGCAUAUUCUUGCUCUUCUCGUGUUGCUCACAACUACCUGCCUGGAUGAAUUUAGGAAAGUUGCAGGAUACAAGGUUAAAACACAAGAUCAAAUGAACAAUCCUAAAAUGUUAUUAAGAAAACAGUUCCGGCCAGGCGUGGUGGCUCAUGCCUGAAAUCCCAGCACUUUGGGAGGCCAAGGCAGGUGGAUCCCGAGGUCAGGAGAUCGAGACCAUCCUGGCUAACAUGAUGAAACCCUCUCUCUACUAAAAAUACAGAAAAUUAGCCAGGUGUGGUGGCACGCACCAGUAGUCCCAGCUACUUGGGAGGCUGAGGCAGGAGAAUUGCUUGAACCUGGAAGGCAGAGACUGCAGUGAGCUGAGACCGCACCACUGCACUCCAGCCUGGGCAACAGAGUGAGACUCUGUCUCAAAAAGAAA